rnacentral:rRNA from 1 species
UACGUAGGGGGCAAGCGUUGUCCGGAAUCAUUGGGCGUAAAGAGCUCGUAGGCGGUCUGUUGCGUCCGCUGUGAAAACUCGGGGCUUAACCCCGAGCCUGCAGUGGAUACGGGCAGACUAGAGGUAGGUAGGGGAGAAUGGAAUUCCCGGUGUAGCGGUGAAAUGCGCAGAUAUCGGGAGGAACACCGGUGGCGAAGGCGGCGACCUGGGUAGAUACUGACGCUGAGGUGCGAAAGCGUGGGGAGCAAACAGG